GGAGGGGGAGAGGGAGAGAGAACAUUUAGUUCAACUCAGCCUCAGUAAACAAAAACAAGUGGUGUCUGAAGCUGCUGAGAGGAGGGGCUCUCAAAGCCAUUUCACUCUCAUAUAGACCAACUUGUGGAUCAGCCACUGGUCACCAAGCACAUCCCGGGUCCCUGCAGUGUUCUGAGCCCUUGUGAGCCCAACACAAACAUGAUGACCACCAGCAUCGACUUUUUCAAAUGGAUUCUAGUUAGAAACCUUCUGGGCUCAUUGACUGUGGUGUUGGCAUGCCCCCAGGUUGUAGUGUCUGCUGUGUGGUUCAUGAAUAAAGAGAAAGAUUUGGCCUCGUAGACUUUCAACAUUCACAGCUCCUUAAAAAUAUUGUGUCCAUCAAGUGUGUCUGUUCCCUCAUGUGCACGUGUAUACAUGCCAUAACAUGUGUGUGGAAGUCAGAGAAUAACCUUUGGGUGUCAGUUUUCUCUUUUUACUAUUUGAGGUUUGGGGCUUGAACUCAGUUCAUCAGGCACCACGGUGCUAAGUGCUUUUGCCAACUGAGUCAUCUGAUCAACCCUCAACACGGACAACUCUUGUGUGCUAACGAAGAAUGACGAGAAUAAAAAGUGUUACUCAAUUAUGUUUAUUAUCUAUAAAUCCGACAGGUCUUCAUUACUUUGUCCUUCUCAAAUAUAAAUGUACGCUUCUGGCUCACCUCCAUCCCCAUCUGUCUCUCCCUCUCAAAGUGCAAACAUUCACUAAGGACCAGAGGAAGGGCUUAGUGCCAGGCUGCCCAUGAAGCCAUUACUCUCAUGGCUUCCCCUUGGCUAACGCCUUGCCUGUCUCACUCACCAAAAUCCUAGGGAAUUCACCCCCAAGAGUCAGCAGCUACUGCCUCUGACCUCACCUGGGAAAAGCCCUUGGAGAAGCCAAGCUGAAGAUCUUCCUGAACUACUGAGAAUCAUGACAGAGAUCCGAACCUCCCACCUCUCUGUGGGGCUCAUAUGCAGAUGAUGCCAAAAGAACUAGUAGCUACAUUACAGAAUUCUAGUGAGUCAUUUGGUCAGUGGGUAUCAUACACACUUCAAAACACAUUGCCAUAGAUGGAGCUGAGAGUCUGGCCUCCUGGGGAGAGCUAAAACUCAGACUGGAUCAUCGUAAGAAUUUCCAUGGGAAACCCUCUGAGAGAAAGCACAGCGACUUGCUAAUUGUAGCUUACUCUAAAUCUAAGGGCAAUGUAGCACUUAUGAAGAAAGAUCAGAAGGUUUGAAUGCCAGUCAUUGGUGGGGGAAUCUCUGAAUAUGGCAGGCCUGCCUGGUGGACUCCUUCAGUGAGGAGAUCAGUCAAAUUGUCUUUCUCUGAGAUGCUUUCCAACAGUAAAAAUUGUUAAACC
rnacentral:lncRNA from 1 species